rnacentral:rRNA from 1 species
CCAAUAGCGUAUAUUAAAGUUGUUGUGGUUAAAAAGCUCGUAGUUGAACCUUGGGCCUGGCUGGCCGGUCCGCCUCACCGCGUGUACUGGUCCGGCCGGGCCUUUCCCUCUGUGGAACCUCAUGCCCUUCACUGGGUGUGGCGGGGAAACAGGACUUUUACUUUGAAAAAGUUAGAGUGCUCCAGGCAGGCCUAUGCUCGAAUACAUUAGCAUGGAAUAAUAAAAUAGGACGUGUGGUUCUAUUUUGUUGGUUUCUAGGACCGCCGUAAUGAUUAAUAGGGACAGUCGGGGGCAUCAGUAUUCAAUUGUCAGAGGUGAAAUUCUUGGAUUUAUUGAAGACUAACUACUGCGAAAGCAUUUGCCAAGGAUGUUUUCAUUAAUCAGGAACGAAAGUUAGGGGAUCGAAGACGAUCAGAUACCGUCGUAGUCUUAACCAUAAACUAUGCCGACUAGGGAUCGGACGAUGUUAUUUUUUGACGCGUUCGGCACCUUACG